rnacentral:rRNA from 1 species
UAGCCUAGGAGAUACACCUGUACCCAUGCCGAACACAGCAGUUAAGCCCUAGAACGCCUGAAGUAGUUGGGGGUUGCCCCCUGUUAGAUACGGUAGUCGCUUAGCA